ensembl:miRNA
GCAAGAAGAACUGGACGAAAUUAAAAUGCUAUUCUGUCAUCAUAAUAGUUCACAUGGGCACUGUCAGGAGAGCAUUUUAAUUUUGUCAAGUGUGUCUGCU